rnacentral:rRNA from 1 species
UACGGGGGGGGCAAGCGUUGUUCGGAAUUACUGGACGUAAAGGGCUCGUAGGUGGCCAACUAAGUCAGACGUGAAAUCCCUCGGCUCAACCGGGGAACUGCGUCUGAUACUGGAUGGCUUGAAUCCGGGAGAGGGAUGCGGAAUUCCAGGUGUAGCGGUGAAAUGCGUAGAUAUCUGGAGGAACACCGGUGGCGAAGGCGGCAUCCUUGACCGGUAUUGACACUGAGGAGCGAAAGCCAGGGGAGCAAACGGG